CAAAGUAUGGAUGUUAAAGUUGUCAACAAAAUAAGUUAUAAGUCUUACGCUACACUAUACAUUAAAAAUCACUUUCCCAGUAUGAGGCUCCCAUUUUUCUGGGCAAUUGCAGAACAAGCUCAAAGUUAAUAUCCUGUUCUCCAUAACUUAUUAUGGAAGAAAAGGUAGCUUUUGGGAAGGUCUUUUCCACGUGUGUGUUUGUACUCUAAAUUCCUUGUACUGUUCAGACAAUAAAAAUGGCUGAUUCUAUUCCUUUUCCAGGUUCCUGAGAAGAAAAGUUGGCUAGUACAGGGUCUGUUAUUGAUAUCUUUUGUGACUUUGGGAAGAUUUCAGGAGUGUUUUUUGUUUGAAUCACUUUAAUCUUCUGCAGAUAACUAUAUAUAUCAUCAUGCAUAAGCAUGCUUAGGAAAGCUUUUCUAUCUAGAAUAUAAUUAGGAGAGUUUCUCAUUGGUAAGUGGGAAGAAUUACAACAGUCUUAAAAUCAUAGAACAUCCUGAAUUGGAAAGGAUUCUCAAGGAACACUGAGUCCAACUCCCAGGACCAUGUAGGACUACCCAAAAAUCAAACCGUAUUUCUAAGAGCAUUAUCCAAAUGUUCCUUGAACUCCAGGAGGGUUGGGGCCACGACUACUGCUCUAGGGAGCCUGUUCCAGUGCCCAGUCAUCUUCUGGUGAAGAAUCUUUUCCAACCUGCCCCUCCCCUGAUGCAGCUCCAUGCUGUUUCUUUGGGUCCUGUUACUGUCACAAGACAGCAGAGAUCAGCACCUGUUCCUCUGCUCCAUGUGAGCUGCAGCCACCAUGAGGCCUGACCUCAGCCUCCUCUGCCCUGGGCUGAACAAACCAAGGGACCUCAGCUGCUUCUUGUAUGUCUUGUCCUCUCUACUCUUUCCCAUCUUCAUUGCCCUUCUUUGGAUGCUCUCUAAUAGCUUCAUGUCCUUAUAUUGUUGCUCUCAAAACUGUACCCAGUGCUCAAGAUGAAGCUGCACUAGCACAGGGCAGAACAGGACAAUCCCUUUCCUCAACCAGCCUAGAAGUGUUGAGCAUGAUGCAUUCCUGGUCCUUUUGGCUGCCAGAGUACACUGCUGAUUCACAUUCAACUUGCCAUCAACUAGAAUCCCCAUAUCCAUUUCCGUGAGUCUGCUCUUCAGCCACAUAUUCAUCAGCCUGUACUGGGUUGACUCAUCCCAGCUGUAGAAUCUGACACUUGCUCUUUUGAAAUUUCACGUGGUUGAAAUUUCAAGCCCUCCAAUUUGUCAAGAUCUCUCUGCAAGGCCUCCCUGCCCUCAAAGGAGUCAAUAGCUUCUCCCAGUUCAGUGUUGUCCAGAAAUGUACUUAAUAUAUCUUCAAGUCCUGUGUCGGAGUCACAGAUGAAAACACUGAAAAGUACUAGCCUUAAAAUGGCUCCCUGUGGAAGCCCACUAGUGAUGCCAGCUGCCAGCCUCAUAUAACUCCAUUUACUAUAACCGUUUGAAGUCCAGCUCAUCAGCUAAUUAUUCACUCAUCACAUUACAUUUUUUUUUCUACCUGUAUGCUGGACAUUUUGUCCAGAACAUACUGUGAUAAACAGUAUGGAAUGUUUUGCUGAAAACCAGAGUGUAUGGGAACUGCUGAGUCACGGCCUGAACCUCUGAUUGAUCACCUGAGGCGAGCCAUGAGUCAGCCAGAGGAGCACAGCUGAAGGCAAUUCUCCUGUGCUGCUGGAAGGGGUGGAGCCAGGCUGCACUUCUCCUAGACCUAUUGAAGAGCUGCCUACCAGUGGGGAAGGAUCUCAUCUGGAGAUCCCUCCUUCUGGUGUUUUGCGGGUGAGCCCAGUAUAAGGUUACAUCGGCUGGCUUUUCUUGGUCAACUAGGUGUUUUUCAAUGACUUCCAGAAUAAUCUUCUCCAUAAUUUUGCCAGUAACGGGAGUGAUACUGUCAGAUCUAUAAUAACCAGGGUCAUCUUUGUUGCUCUUGAAAACUGGGACAAUGUUUGCCAGCUUUGAAUUUACUAUGACCUCUCUGGAUUCCCAGGACUAUUGAAAAAUAAUUGAGAGAGGUCUUGUGAUGACAGCAGCCAACUCUAAGCACCCUGGGAUGAAUUCCAUUGAUUUACAUAUGCAUCCAGCUGGAGCAACAAAUCCCACACAAAUACAAGGUUGAAUGGAAAGUCCACUACAGGAAAUAGAAUGUCUGUAAUAUGUUGAACGCAAUUUUAGGAAGUGUUUCUCUUGACUGUUUUUCCAAUUUAGAAAGAUUAGAGAAUAUGUGUUUUCCCUCUUAGAAUAUUCUAAGUCUCAGGCAGUUUUUUUUCCUCAAAGUAGAGGUUCACUGGAAAUAAAGGUCUGUUCUGUGAGAUAGUAAGACUACAGAGAUCUAUGUUGGCUACUGAUGGGAAAAGGAUAAAGAUUUACUGAAAAAAACCCUCUCCAUGACCAAGCAUGCUCCAAAGAAGAAAAAAAGACAGGGUCCGUUCUCUGGUAAUGAGGCCAAACACCACAAAUUGACAUGUUUACUCUAAGUAGUGUUUGGUGAUUGGUUUGCACGGAGAUCCACGUGCUGGCCUGAAGUCUUAAGGUAUCAUUUUUAGUGCAUAUUUUCUUUUUUCAACUAAUUAUAUGAAAUAAUUUUAUGACUAUAGUUUCAUAGCAUGAAAAUUUUGGUAUGUGUUUUAUGGGAUGUAAAGUGAGGAUAUUUGGUUUACUUAAGGGCGUAAAACUUGCUGAAAUAGUGCUGUUAGACAGUAAGAUAGAGAAAUCCAAAUCUACUGCACUCAUCCUCUCAGGCUGUUGAAGAAAGCAUGUACUGUGUGCUCUGGUACUGCCUUAAGAAGAGGUGUUUGAAAAGCACAAAAAUUGUGGUAGGAGUCACACGAGCAGUUGAACAGUAGAGAUGAAUGCUGUUUCAGUGCUGCAUUUUGUGUGGUUCUGUUUUGUUUAGCAGUAUAGUUGCAACCACAGGGACUGCAACACAAGCCCUUAAAAGAAACUACUGCAGAUGCAUAGCAUACUAUUCUUGCCUGUGCCUUUUUGUCAGAAAGCAGCAGUGUGGCAGAACUGAGGUUCAAACUGUGCGUAACACUAACCAUUCCAAAAUUAUCCAACCUGGUACAUGAUCCUCAGUCUUGUGCCUUCUUCUGUGGCACCCUGCUUUGUCCAAUCCAGUCCCAUAAUAUGUGGUCCCCUUGUAGUCCCCUUUUUUUUUACCUUCCUCUUCAUCCCUCCACCAUUUUCAUUGUCUUCCUCACAGUAGAGGGGAUGCAAUUUGCCCAGAACAUUGUGUUCCAAUAGAACAGCAGAGAUUAAGCACAAGAUGUGCUUUGAACUAUACUUGAAAUCAUGGCUGUAGUGACUCCUAAGGCAGUGGUUUGUAAACACAGAAUUAAACAUGAGUACAACGGGACACUGCACAGAAAAGUAAACAUAAGAAUAAUUAAAUGCUGAAUUUCUGUCAUAGGCCAUGAACCUGCAUCCAUGCUUGGGAAGCUUGAAAUAUACCAAAGAUAUAGAAUACACACAAUUCAUACUCAACUGCUAGAAGAAGAGUUCACAAGAUUUUGGUUUUUUUUUUUCUGCUUCCGCAAUACUUAGUCAUUAUGAAUUGACAGUAUUAUUGCAUCAACUGCUGCUGUCAGUUAAACUCAUAAGAGUGGCAGUUGGUAUGUCAGUAACUUUAUUUUUCUGGUGUUUGUUUGUUUCUGUAAUUGCAACCCUCUGUACACUGUAAUGUUAGGUUCAUUGUAAUUUUUACUUCUGAAAAGUGUGCGCUUCUGUGUGUGUAAGGAUCACAUCUGUGUAAAGGACC